rnacentral:rRNA from 1 species
UACGUAGGGUGCGAGCGUUGUCCGGAAUUAUUGGGCGUAAAGAGCUCGUAGGCGGUCUGUCGCGUCGAUCGUGAAAAACUUGGGGCUUAACCCUGAGCUUGCGGUCGAUACGGGCAUGACUGGAGUUCGGCAGGGGAGACUGGAAUUCCUGGUGUAGCGGUGAAAUGCGCAGAUAUCAGGAGGAACACCGGUGGCGAAGGCGGGUCUCUGGGCCGGACCUGACGCUGAGGCGCGAAGGCGUGGGGAGCGAACGGG